rnacentral:antisense_RNA from 1 species
CUUGACGGAGCCGAGCAGCAGCGGCCGUGCGGGGUCGCGGUCCUGGCCGUAGGUGGCGAGGAGCGCCUGGGCCUC